rnacentral:rRNA from 1 species
AUGCGCGUCGGGAAUGGUUCUAGAGUCGAUGUGAUCGCCGUCGGCACGCUGCCUCUACAUUUACCUACGGGAUUAGUUUUGAACCUUAAUAAUUGUUAUUUAGUGCCAAGUUUGAGCAUGAACAUUGUAUCUGGAUCUCGUUUAAUACGAGAUGGCUACUCAUUUAAGUCUGAGAAUAAUGGUUGUUCGAUUUAUAUGAGAGAUAUGUUUUAUGGUCAUGCUCCGAUGGUCAAUGGUUUAUUCUUAAUGAAUCUCAAGCGUAAUAUUACACAUGUUCAUAGUGUAGAUGCCAAAAGAUUUAAAGUUGAUAACGAU